UACCGUGAGGGAAAGGUGAAACAGUACCCCGGAAGGGGAGUGAAAUAGAACCUGAAAUCGUAGGCCUACAAAGUGUAGUAGCCCCAUAUGUGGGUCGCUGCAUGCCUUUUGAAGAAUGAGCCGGCGAGUUACUUUAUGCUGCAAGGUUAAGACAGUGAAUGUCGGAGCCGAAGCGAAAGCGAGUCUGAAUAGGGCGCUCGAGUAGC
rnacentral:rRNA from 1 species